GAUGAAUGCUGGCGGCGUGCUUAACACAUGCAAGUCGAGCGGCAGCGCGAGUAGUUUACUACUUGGCGGCGAGCGGCGGACGGCUGAGUAACGCGUAGGAACGUGCCCCAAAGUGAGGAAUAACUGCCCGAAAGGGUGGCUAAUGCCGCAUAUGAUCUUCGGAUUAAAGGAUUUAUCCGCUUUGGGAGCGGCCUGCGUAUGAUUAGGUAGUUGGUGAGGUAAUGGCUCACCAAGCCGACGAUCAUUAGCUGGUCUGAGAGGAUGACCAGCCAGACUGGAACUGAGACACGGUCCAGACUCCUACGGGAGGCAGCAGUGAGGAAUCUUCCACAAUGGGCGAAAGCCUGAUGGAGCAACGCCGCGUGCAGGAUGAAGGCCUUCGGGUUGUAAACUGCUUUUAUAAGUGAAGAAUAUGACGGUAACUUAUGAAUAAGCACCGGCUAACUACGUGCCAGCCGCCGCGGUAA
rnacentral:rRNA from 1 species